rnacentral:rRNA from 2 species
UUUAUUGAGAGUUUGAUCCUGGCUCAGGAUGAACGCUGGCGGCGUGCUUAACACAUGCAAGUCGAACGGAGGACCCUUGACGGAGUUUUCGGACAACGGAUAGGAAUCCUUAGUGGCGGACGGGUGAGUAACGCGUGAGGAACCUGCCUUGGAGAGGGGAAUAACACAGAGAAAUUUGUGCUAAUACCGCAUGAUGCAGUUGGGUCGCAUGGCUCUGACUGCCAAAGAUUUAUCGCUCUGAGAUGGCCUCGCGUCUGAUUAGCUAGUUGGUAGGGUAACGGCCUACCAAGGCGACGAUCAGUAGCCGGACUGAGAGGUUGACCGGCCACAUUGGGACUGAGACACGGCCCAGACUCCUACGGGAGGCAGCAGUGGGGAAUAUUGGGCAAUGGGCGCAAGCCUGACCCAGCAACGCCGCGUGAAGGAAGAAGGCUUUCGGGUUGUAAACUUCUUUUAUGAGGGACGAAGGAAGUGACGGUACCUCAUGA